GGCCAAAGCGACUGUCUGAGGCUGGAAUGGGCACCUUGGAGAAAUGGUUGGUUGUAUACCUCCAUAGUACAGAAGAGAAGAAGAUUAAGGACCAAACCCUGCGGUACUCCAAAGUUUGGAGGUCAGGGAGCAGAGAAGGUACCUGAGGAGCAAAGAAAUAUGAAGAUCAAAUGCAAAGGGAGAGUGAAUUCUUGGAAGCCAGGUGAGGAAACUGUUUCAAGGAAGCAGCAGCGAUCAGUUGUGUCAAAUCCUGCAGGAAGGAUGAGGAAGAUGAGGACUGUGACCUGACCCUGUAUUUUGCAAUGUGGAGACCAUUGAUAGCCUUGUCUGGAGAACUUCCUGUAGCAUGGGGGAGUAGGGAGUUUCAAGAAGAAAUAUGGAGAUGUCAGAGGCACAGAGGCAGAGGAGGCAGGGAACAGGUUUAGCAUCUCAGAAACAGCAAUUAGAAGAGCAGAGAAUAAACCCAGGGACACCUUCAACAAAACUAGGUGCCAAGUAUCCCCCUGAAUCCCAGAAUUCGGGUAGAUGGGGGCCAAAUCACCAACAGCAGCAAGAACAAAGUGGGAGCAGCUUUCAUUCGAGUGCGAGGGGAGACAGGUAACUUCUUGUUCAAUGUAAAAAACAAUAACCAAACCAAAAAAAAAAAAAACAGUGUAGGAGAAUGGUUGAAUAUGCUACCUUUUAAGGGAGGGAGGAGAUAUUUUAAAAAUACAAACAGUUUAAGUUUUUUUUCAAAAGGAAAGAAUAGCAACAACAACAAAAAUAAUUACAAUGGUCAUUUCUAGAGUAGGAUUCUCAAUCUCAGCACUAUUGGCAUUUGGGACCAGAUAGUUCUUUGCUGUGCAUUAUAGGAUGUUUAGCAGCAUCCUUGGCCUCUACCUACUAGAUGACAGUAGCAAACCUCUCUCCCACCCCUGCCCUGACCACCACUGUGAUAACUCAGAACUCCUCUAGACAUUGCCAGAUGCCCCCCUGGUUGAGAACCACUGCUAUAGAGACAGAAAGCAGGGAGGAGGGGAUAGGAAUGUAAACUUGACUUAUGAACAUGCCUUGCUUUAGUUUUUACUUUGGAACUAUGCAUCUUUUUACAUAAUUAAAAAGCACUUCUUCCAA